AACGUAGGAGACGAGCGUUAUCCGGAUUUACUGGGCGUAAAGCGCGUGCAGGCGGCAUGGCAAGUUGGAUGUGAAAGCUCCCGGCUUAACUGGGAGAGGUCGUUCAAUACUGCCAGGCUUGAGAGUGGUAGAGGGAAGCGGAAUUCCGGGUGUAGUGGUGAAAUGCGUAGAUAUCCGGAGGAACACCAGUGGCGAAAGCGGCUUCCUGGCCCAUUUCUGACGCUCAGACGCGAAAGCUAGGGUAGCAAACGGGAUUAGAGACCCCGGUAGUCCUAGCCGUAAACGAUGUGAACUUGGCGUUGGCGGGUUUAAAUCCGUCAGUGCCGCAGCUAACGCGAUAAGUUCACCGCCUGGGGACUACGGCCGCAAGGUUAAA
rnacentral:rRNA from 1 species